UACACUCCUACGGGAGGCAGCAGUGGGGAAUAUUGGCCAAUGGGCGCAAGCCUGAUCCAGCCAUGCCGCGUGAGUGAUGAAGGCCCUAGGGUUGUAAAGCUCUUUCACCGGUGAAGAUAAUGACGGUAACCGGAGAAGAAGCCCCGGCUAACUUCGUGCCAGCAGCCGCGGUAAUACGAAGGGGGCUAGCGUUGUUCGGAUUUACUGGGCGUAAAGCGCACGUAGGCGGACUAUUAAGUCAGGGGUGAAAUCCCGGGGCUCAACCCCGGAACUGCCUUUGAUACUGGUAGUCUUGAGUUCGAGAGAGGUGAGUGGAAUUCCGAGUGUAGAGGUGAAAUUCGUAGAUAUUCGGAGGAACACCAGUGGCGAAGGCGGCUCACUGGCUCGAUACUGACGCUGAGGUGCGAAAGCGUGGGGAGCAAACAGGAUUAGAAACCCCAGUAGUCCCA
rnacentral:rRNA from 1 species